UGGUGGCAUUUUAUUUUAUUAGAGGAAUAUGUUUAAUAAUCGUAACCACACGAUUACUUUCACUUUUAGUUAUAUUUUAUAUACCGCCGUCUUGAAUAAAUCAUAAAAUUUUGUUCAAAAUAAAAUUCUAAAAAUUUAGGUAAAGGUGUAAACUAUCUAAAAGAUAAAAUGUAUUACACUAAAAAAAAUUUAAGGAUCAAAUUAAAAUAUAAUUUAAGAAAGGGGAUUUAUAAGUAUUANUUANUCAAAAUUAAAACUGAAUUAAAAGUAAAUG
rnacentral:rRNA from 1 species